GACGAACGCUGGCGGCGUGCUUAACACAUGCAAGUCGAACGGAAAGGCCCUGCUUUUGUGGGGUGCUCGAGUGGCGAACGGGUGAGUAACACGUGAGUAACCUGCCCUUGACUUUGGGAUAACUUCAGGAAACUGGGGCUAAUACCGGAUAGGAGCUCCUGCUGCAUGGUGGGGGUUGGAAAGUUUCGGCGGUUGGGGAUGGACUCGCGGCUUAUCAGCUUGUUGGUGGGGUAGUGGCUUACCAAGGCUUUGACGGGUAGCCGGCCUGAGAGGGUGACCGGCCACAUUGGGACUGAGAUACGGCCCAGACUCCUACGGGAGGCAGCAGUGGGGAAAAUUGCACAAUGGGCGGAAGCCUGAUGCGGCAACGCCGCGUGCGGGAUGACGGCCUUCGGGUUGUAAACCGCUUUCGCCUGUGACGAAGCGUGAGUGACGGUAAUGGGUAAAGAAGCACCGGCUAACUACGUG
rnacentral:rRNA from 1 species